rnacentral:rRNA from 1 species
AUACGGAUGGUGCGAGCGUUGUUCGGAAUUACUGGGCGUAAAGGGCGCGUAGGCGGCGAUGUAAGUCAAAUGUGAAAGUCCUCGGCUUAACCGGGGAAGUGCAUCUGAAACUGCAUUGCUUGAGUAUGGGAGAGGAAAGUGGAAUUCCCGGUGUAGAGGUGAAAUUCGUAGAGAUCGGGAGGAAUACCGGUGGCGAAGGCGACUUUCUGGACCAAUACUGACGCUGAGGCGCGAAAGCGUGGGGAGCAAACAGGAUUAAAGACCCGAGUAGUCC